rnacentral:misc_RNA from 1 species
UACGUAGGGCGCAAGCGUUGUCCGGAAUUAUUGGGCGUAAAGAGCUCGUAGGCGGCCUGUUGCGUCUGCUGUGAAAUCCCGGGGCUUAACCCCGGGCGUGCAGUGGAUACGGGCAGGCUGGAGGCAGGCAGGGGAGAAUGGAAUUCCCGGUGUAGCGGUGAAAUGCGCAGAUAUCGGGAGGAACACCGGUGGCGAAGGCGGUUCUCUGGGUCAUUACUGACGCUGAGGAGCGAAAGCGUGGGGAGCGGACAGG